rnacentral:rRNA from 1 species
GACGAACGCUGGCGGCGUGCUUAACACAUGCAAGUCGAACGGAAAGGCCCUGCUUUUGUGGGGUGCUCGAGUGGCGAACGGGUGAGUAACACGUGAGUAACCUGCCCUUGACUUUGGGAUAACUUCAGGAAACUGGGGCUAAUACCGGAUAGGAGCUCCUGCUGCAUGGUGGGGGUUGGAAAGUUUCGGCGGUUGGGGAUGGACUCGCGGCUUAUCAGCUUGUUGGUGGGGUAGUGGCUUACCAAGGCUUUGACGGGUAGCCGGCCUGAGAGGGUGACCGGCCCCAUUGGGACUGAGGUACGGCCCAGACUCCUACGGGGGGCAGCAGUGGGGAAUAUUGCACAAUGGGCGGAAGCCUGAUGCAGCAACGCCGCGUGCGGGAUGACGGCCUUCGGGUUGUAAACCGCUUUCGCCUGUGACGAAGCGUGAGUGACGGUAAUGGGUAAAGAAGCACCGGCUAACUACGUG